UACGAAGGGGGCUAGCGUUGUUCGGAUUUACUGGGCGUAAAGCGCACGUAGGCGGGUCGUUUAAGUCGAGGGUGAAAUCCUGGAGCUCAACUCCAGAACUGCCUUCGAUACUGGCGACCUAGAGUCCGGAAGAGGUGAGUGGAACUCCUAGUGUAGAGGUGGAAUUCGUAGAUAUUAGGAAGAACACCAGUGGCGAAGGCGGCUCACUGGUCCGGUACUGACGCUGAGGUGCGAAAGCGUGGGGAGCAAACAGG
rnacentral:rRNA from 1 species